rnacentral:tRNA from 1 species
AGCCUUGUAGUCAACAAUGAUACUAGACUGCAAUUCUAGAGGAGUAAACAUUAAAGGUUCACUAAGGCUU